AGCAGCCGCGGUAAUUCCAGCUCCAAUAGCGUAUAUUAAAGUUGUUGCAGUUAAAAAGCUCGUAGUUGAAUUUCGGGAUUGGCGCAUCGGUCGUGCCUCACGGGGUAUGAACUGGUGCAGUCAAUUUCUCACCUUCUGGAGAACCGCGAUGUCCUUAAUUGGAUGCCGCGGGGAACCAGGACCUUUACUUUGAAAAAUUAGAGUGUUUAAAGCAGGCAUUUUUGCUUGAAUACAUUAGCAUGGAAUAAUAAAAUAGGACGGCAUGGUUCUAUUUUGUUGGUUUCUAGGACCACCGUAAUGAUUAAUAGGGAUAGUUGGGGGCAUUAGUAUUCAAUUGUCAGAGGUGAAAUUCUUGGAUUUAUUGAAGACUAACUACUGCGAAAGCAUUUGCCAAGGAUGUUUUCAUUAAUCAAGAACGAAAGUUAGGGGAUCGAAGACGAUCAGAUACCGUCGUAGUCUUAACCAUAAACUAUGCCGACUAGGAAUC
rnacentral:rRNA from 1 species